rnacentral:rRNA from 1 species
GACGAACGCUGGCGGCGUGCUUAACACAUGCAAGUCGAACGGGUCUGCCCUGUUUUUUGCGGGGUGGGUCAGUGGCGAACGGGUGAGUAACACGUGAGUAACCUGCCCCUCACUUCUGGAUAACCGCUUGAAAGGGUGGCUAAUACGGGGUGUUCUGGCUGUGCCGCAUGGUGUGGCUGGGAAAGAUUCACUUUUGUGGUGUUUUGGUGGGGGAUGGGCUCGCGGCCUAUCAGCUUGUUGGUGGGGUGAUGGCCUGCCAAGGCUUUGACGGGUAGCCGGCCUGGGAGGGUGGGCGGUCACACUGGGACUGAGAUGCGGCCCAGACUCCUGCGGGAGGCAGCAGUGGGGGGUAUUGCACAAUGGGCGGAAGCCUGAUGCAGCGACGUCGCGUGAGGGAUGGAGGCCUUCGGGUUGUGAACCUCUUUCGCCGGUGAAGAAGGUCCUGCUCUUUGUGGUGGGGUUGACGGUAGCCGGGUUAUGAAGCGCCGGCUAACUACGUG